GCAAUACGAUACCCAGGUAGUCCACGCCGUAAACGAUGAGUACUAGGUGUAGGAGGUAUCGACCCCUUCUGUGCCGCAGUAAACACAAUAAGUACUCCGCCUGGGAAGUACGAUCGCAAGAUUAAAACUCAAAGGAAUUGACGGGGGGCCCGCACAAGCAGCGGAGCAUGUGGUUUAAUUCGAAGCAACGCGAAGAACCUUACCUGGACUUGACAUACCCUGAAUAGCGCAGAGAUGCAUGAAGCCCUUCGGGGCAGGGAUACAGGUGGUGCAUGGUUGUCGUCAGCUCGUGUCGUGAGAUGUUAGGUUAAGUCCUGCAACGAGCGCAACCCCUGUUGUUAGUUGCUAACAUUAAGUUGAGCACUCUAGCAAGACUGCCGCGGUUAACGCGGAGGAAGGUGGGGAUGACGUCAAAUCAUCAUGCCCCUUAUGUCCAGGGCAACACACGUGCUACAAUGGGCAGUACAGAGAGAAGCAAGACCGCGAGGUGGAGCAAACCUCAAAAACUGCCCCAGUUCGGAUUG
rnacentral:rRNA from 1 species